UACGGGAGGCAGCAGUGGGGAAUAUUGCACAAUGGGCGAAAGCCUGAUGCAGCUAUGCCGCGUGUAUGAAGAAGGCCUUAGGGUUGUAAAGUACUUUCAUCGGGGAGGAAAAAACAAAACUAAUAAUUUUAUUUCUUGACGUUACCCGAAAAAGAAGCACCGGCUAACUCCGUGCCAGCAGCCGCGGUAAUACGGAGGGUGCUAGCGUUAAUCAGAAUUACUGGGCGUAAAGAGCACGUAGGUGGUUUUUUAAGUCAGAUGUGAAAUCCCUGGGCUUAACCUAGGAACUGCAUUUUGAAACUGAAAUACUAGAGUAUCGUAGAGGGAGGUAGAAUUCUAGGUGUAGCGGUGAAAUGCGUAGAUAUCUGGAGGAAUACCUGUGGCGAAAGCGGCCUCCUAAACGAAUACUGACACUGAGGUGCGAAAGCGUUGGGGAGCAAACAGGGAUUUAGAUACC
rnacentral:rRNA from 1 species